GAUUCCAUCUCUUGUCCUGAGGGAACCCAGCUGCCACUCCUGAGACACCACACAGAGGGGCCUCGUGGGGAGUGACCAGGUGACAAUGCCUGAGAUGCUGCACGGAGGGCCUCAUGGCGGGUAACUGCGUGGCCCGAAGCCAGGGAGGAACCUCAAGGGGCCAGCAGUCACCAGGGAGCGUGGACAUGUUCCCAGAGCCCGGGUGAACCUUCCAGGGACCACAAACUCACGGCCAUGCUGUCUGCAAGUCCUCACCUCAGACGCAUGGGGUGGUGAACAUUCGUGGCUUGAGGCUGCUAAGUUUUGGGGCUGUCUGUGUGACGACAAAGCUGCAGGCCCCAAGACAGAGAAAACCAUCUGGCAGCUGGUCCUUCUGAUAAAAGACCCAAGAAACCGCAUAGAUCGUCAAGGAGGGAGACCCGGGAGAAAACCCAGGUGCCCGCCACUCCAGCGCCAGGGCCACCGGGGUCCCCCAGAGGCACCCCAUCAGCCGUGGACCCGGGCGGGGCUGUCUCCUGCUGCCCCCGUCGCCUGGUCAGACAGACUGCGUGGAACCGCAGGUUUCACGGGACUUCGCAGGAAGGAGCUGCUGCCACAAUUCUUACAAACCUCAGGUCGUCUUCAGAAAGCAGCAUCAGGUGGGGCGUUUGGACGCACAGGAGGAGCCACACCGAUGGUCCCACAGACGGAGAGCUUGGGCCGGGCCCCAGACUGGGCCUCUCCCUAGAGGAGACCAAGAGGCAAGAAAAUGGAGGCCCCAGGGAGCCGCACACUCGAGAUGG